UUUCCCAACUUUCCCCUUGUAUUGUGUUGUAAGGAGAUUUGAAUUUACCCGCGCCAUGACGUGACUUGUCAGUGACUGGUGCGUGCGCAUUCGCUACUUUUGACACCAUCUGAUUAUCUGAAUUCGGACGAUCGGUGCAGUCGGGGGAAAACACUUGGUUUUAAACCUAAUGAAAUGGGCAGACUGUUUGAAAUCAGAAUAGACUUCUUCGACAGCACAGGUUUAAUGUAACUGAAGACAGGAACCUAAGUGAUACUCUCUGCAUCAGUUUUACGUCAUUUUAUCUGUCGCUAAACAUUGACAAUCAACCCUGAGGAAAGAAUGGUAAGAACAAGAUUAUACUUCCAACCAGACCUUUGGAUAGACCCCCAGGAAGAAAAGAAACUUGAAGAGGGUGGAAACCAUGUGACAGUCCAAUCAGGAAAGAAAGCAUGUUGCAUUGAUGAAGCGUUUCGAUUUUAAGUUUCAAAAUCAAAACACUCUGUUCAACUUACUGUCCUAGAUAGCUAGAUGUGUGAUUGUUAUCAUAGUCGUCAUUCCGGUAUUAAGUUAUUGUUGUCUUUGUUCAAGGUAUUUUAUCUCGCUUAUAAGUGACAUGUUUUUGAUAAACUUUUGAAAAUCUGUGUAAAUUGCAUCAUAUUCAAAUCAGUCUACUGAUAUAACUUUCAGACGUGUCAAAGAAUACUAUUUUAUUGCUGUUUUUUGUUGGUCUGCAACUAGCAUCAUACUGUUGAGUGAAUAAAUAAUAAUUUACCAAAUAUACAUUGCGUUGCCUUCAGGAAGUCAGAAGACCUCAGCGAGGCAACUGGCCAAUGUAAAUCUGUGUAAAUUGCAUCAGAUUCAAAUCAGUCUACUGUAAAAGUCAGACCCUUCAAAGUAGAUUAUUUAGUUGCUGUUUUUUGUUGGUACUGUUGAGUGAAUGAAUUACAAUUUACCAAAUGUAUAUUGUGUUGCCUUCAGGAAGUCAGAAGACCUCAGCGAGGCAACUGGCCAAUGUAAAUCUGUGUAAAUUGCAUCAGAUUCAAAUCAGUCUACUGUAAAAGUCAGACCCUUCAAAGUAGAUUAUUUAGUUGAUGUUUUUUGUUGGUACUGUUGAGUGAAUGAAUUACAAUUUACCAAAUGUAUAUUGUGUUGCCUUCAGGAAGUCAUAAGACCUCAGCGAGGCAACUGGCCAAUGUAAAUCUGUGUGAAUUGCAUCAGAUUCAAAUCACUAUACAAAUAUAACUUUCAGACAUGUCAAAGUAUACUAUUUUAUUGCUGUUUUUUGUUGGUCUGCAACUAGCAUCAUACUGUUGAGUGAAUAAAUUACAAUUUACCAAAUAUACAUUGCGUUGCCUUCAGGAAGUCGGAAGACCUCAGCGAGGCAACUGGCCAAUGUAAAUCGGUGUUAAUUGCAUCAGAUUCAAAUCAGUCGCCUGAUACAACAGUCAGAGUCAGACACAUCAAGUAAACUAUUAUUGUUGGGUUUUUUUGACACCCGCUGCAUGUAGUGUAUUGGUUAGUAAAUAAAUAAUUUAGCAAAUAUACAUACUA